GGGAGGUAUUAGGAACCACAUAACCAAAAAAAGUGGCAUGUCUUCUUUAUCCUUCUCGCACAGUGUUGCUCUCCUUCUCUGUGACGUCACGAAUACCUCCAUGCAUAUUCUGUUAUGCUAGUAACAAGUCGAAGCUUCCGAAAUCCAAACGCGAGAUGGCGCUGAUUAAAACUUUAAUUUUAUCGAUCUAUCUUUUUCGACUAACUUAUCGACGAAAAUAUACUUCGUGAAUAUAGAAGAAAAAGAAGAAACGAAUUCUUUGACAGUAGCAAUUUUGUAACUUUGUAACUGAGAAAUAUUUGAAGAGUCAUCGUAAAAAUAUCUAUACGAAAUUUUAUACGAAAAUAUAUUAUUUUCCAUCGACACAUAAAAAUAAUAAUAUUCGAAUUUCACAAAAAUUUCAACUCAAUUGCUCGAAUUGCAAAAUCUUAUACUUGUAGUUUCAUUUAUAGGUUAUACAUAAUUUAUAAGCAUAAAUGUUUAAUACUAUUUCAGUCGGCUUUUUAACAAAAUUUCAUUGAAAUACUAUUCAUUUUCGAUUUAUAUUUCUUCAACUUCUUUUCAUUCGACUGAUAUCCGUUUUCAAAAUUUUUCAUCAAGUUUCUCGUAUUUUUAGUUAUAAAUAGAUAGAUAGAAGUCGCAGUUCGAGUGAAAUCGUAUUGUAAAUACUCUAAAUUUUCAUUAGACAGGAUCAUUAAUCGUGGUCAUUUUGUUCGGUGUGUAUAUGUGCAUGUGUGGCAAAAUAUACAUGUAAACUUCGUUCUUUCGUAAAAUCAGUUAUAGAAAAGAAAACAAAAUAAAGAAAGAGAAAGAUAAGAACAGGAGACGUCGCGGCGCCUAUCUAGCAUGCGAACGACGCCGUCUAGCUCAAUUUUGAAUUUAACAAUUACCAUGAGAUCUGGCUCAGAAUUUUUUCACUCAACUUUUUAAAGUAUCCUCAAAUAACCUAAAAAAUUUGUACGAUCGAUGCAUUCUAUAUCGUACAUACAUCAAAAUCAAAAUAUAUAUAAUUGAAAAGAAGAGAAAUAUUUUUAAGCUAAGAUGAAACUAAUUUUCGCAGAUAAAAAAAGUUAAGUGCUAAUCCACCAAGUUGAACUUGACAUACUUUCGAAAUAUGGCAUCCAAUGCAAUGGCAUUAAGACCCAAAGAAUCUUCGGUGCGCAGUAAUGAAAGCAUAGGUUGGUGAGAAGUGUUAGAGCGUCAGGAUGUUCGGCGCCACAUUGCCGCGACCCAAAUAGUAAUAAUACCGUCGGCGAAGCUUCUGUCGAUGGAGACGCUGUUGCGAGUGAUGGAGGACGAGGAAGAAUGACCGUACACCACCUACAUUUGCCUCAAUCUUGGACUCUGCGUAUAUUAUUAUUCGAGAAAAUUUUUACGAGUCCUUUGGAUCGGCCACGUUCCUCUUAUGGCCCUCGUUUAGAUUAUUCUCGCCUGUCUUGUGGUUACACAACGCGUAUAUCUAUGCAAAAAUUUCAAGGAAGACCAUUAAGGGAAAGAGAAAGAAACUUUUCUCGUGUUGAUAAAUCAAGUUACGACACCCACGUAAUACUGGUUGGGAAAAAUUCGAGCAAGCAGAUAUAAUAAUAAGAA